rnacentral:rRNA from 1 species
ACCUACGGGGGGCAGCAGUAGGGAAUCUUCCGCAAUGGACGAAAGUCUGACGGAGCAACGCCGCGUGAGUGAUGAAGGUUUUCGGAUCGUAAAACUCUGUUGUUAGGGAAGAACAAGUACGAGAGUAACUGCUCGUACCUUGACGGUACCUAACCAGAAAGCCACGGCUAACUACGUGCCAGCAGCCGCGGUAAUACGUAGGUGGCAAGCGUUGUCCGGAAUUAUUGGGCGUAAAGCGCGCGCAGGCGGUCCUUUAAGUCUGAUGUGAAAGCCCACGGCUCAACCGUGGAGGGUCAUUGGAAACUGGGGGACUUGAGUACAGAAGAGAAGAGUGGAAUUCCACGUGUAGCGGUGAAAUGCGUAGAGAUGCGGAGGAACACCAGUGGCGAAGGCGACUCUUUGGUCUGUAACUGACGCUGAGGCGCGAAAGCGUGGGGAGCAAACAGGAUUAGAUACCCGCGUAGUCCG